CCUACGGGUGGCUGCAGUGAGGAAUAUUGGUCAAUGGACGAGAGUCUGAACCAGCCAAGUAGCGUGAAGGAUGACUGCCCUAUGGGUUGUAAACUUCUUUUAUAUGGGAAUAAAAUGUUCCACGUGUGGGAUUUUGUAUGUACCAUAUGAAUAAGGAUCGGCUAACUCCGUGCCAGCAGCCGCGGUAAUACGGAGGAUCCGAGCGUUAUCCGGAUUUAUUGGGUUUAAAGGGAGCGUAGGUGGUUUGUUAAGUCAGUUGUGAAAGUUUGAGGCUCAACCGUAAAAUUGCAGUUGAAACUGGUAGUCUUGAGUGCAGUAGAGGUAGGCGGAAUUCGUGGUGUAGCGGUGAAAUGCUUAGAGAUCACGAAGAACUCCGAUUGCGAAGGCAGUUCACUGGACUGCAACUGACACUGAGGCGCGAAAGUGUGGGCAUCAAACAGGAUUAGAUACCCGGGUAGUC
rnacentral:rRNA from 1 species